GACGAACGCUGGCGGCGUGCCUAACACAUGCAAGUCGAGCGAAUGAAGUUCCUUCGGGAAUGGACUUAGCGGCGGACGGGUGAGUAACACGUGGGUAACCUACCUAUAAGACUGGGAUAACUCCGGGAAACCGGGGCUCAUACCGGAUAAUAUAUUGAACCGCAUGGUUCAAUGUUGAAAGACGGUUUCGGCUGUCACUUAUAGAUUGACCCGCGCCGUAUUAGCUAGUUGGUAAGGUAACGGCUUACCAAGGCAACGAUACGUAGCCGACCUGAGAGGGUGAUCGGCCAAAAUGGAACUGAGACACGGUCCAGACUCCUACGGGAGGCAGCAGUAGGGAAUCUUCCGCAAUGGGCGAAAGCCUGACGGAGCAACGCCGCGUGAGUGAUGAAGGUCUUAGGAUCGUAAAACUCUGUUGUUAGGGAAGAACAAAUUUGUUAGUAACUGAACAAGUCUUGACGGUACCUAACCAGAAAGCCACGGCUAACUACGUGCCAGCCGCCGCCGUAA
rnacentral:rRNA from 1 species